rnacentral:rRNA from 1 species
AUUGAACGCUGGCGGCAUGCCUUACACAUGCAAGUCGAACGGUAACAGGUCUUCGGAUGCUGACGAGUGGCGAACGGGUGAGUAAUACAUCGGAACGUGCCCAGACGUGGGGGAUAACGAGGCGAAAGCUUUGCUAAUACCGCAUACGAUCUAAGGAUGAAAGCAGGGGACCGCAAGGCCUUGCGCGUCUGGAGCGGCCGAUGGCAGAUUAGGUAGUUGGUGGGAUAAAAGCUUACCAAGCCGACGAUCUGUAGCUGGUCUGAGAGGACGACCAGCCACACUGGGACUGAGACACGGCCCAGACUCCUACGGGAGGCAGCAGUGGGGAAUUUUGGACAAUGGGCGAAAGCCUGAUCCAGCAAUGCCGCGUGCAGGAUGAAGGCCUUCGGGUUGUAAACUGCUUUUGUACGGAACGAAAAGGCUCUGGCUAAUACCUGGGGCACAUGACGGUACCGUAAGAAUAAGCACCGGCUAACUACGUG